UACGAAGGGGCUAGCGUUGCUCGGAAUCACUGGGCGUAAAGCGCACGUAGGCGGCUUCUAAGUCAGAGGUGAAAUCCUGGAGCUCAACUCCAGAACUGCCUUUGAUACUGGAGAGCUUGAGUUCGGGAGAGGUGAGUGGAACUGCGAAGUGUAGAGGUGAAAUUCGUAGAUAUUAGGAAGAACACAGUGGCGAAGGCGGCUCACUGGCCCGGUACGUGACGCUGAUGUGCGAAAGCGUGGGAGCAACAGG
rnacentral:rRNA from 1 species